GAGAAACGGCCAAACGGCUGAACUCUGCUCGACACACAACACCAGGAAGCGAAUUAACACCUCCGGUCAACCAGAGCAGCGAUCUGUGCCUCCUGACGCACGGCCUGGUGCUGCCCCCGGGUGUCUGACGGGUUGCAGCGGCAGCCAGAGGAGCUGAUCAGUCACCUGUCUCCCAGCUGAAAAGGCUUCUGUAAGGGCGUUAUGAUCCACAAACGCAGAGAAAAUCUCACAACUUCUCGGUUUGAUCACUUCUCUAAUGGUUAAUGUCUGCGUCUGGACUGGAUUUCCUCGUUAGGCGCUCCUUGUUGUCAGAGGAGAAGCGAGGGCUCUCCUCGGGGUAUCCCCGGAUUUACGCACGACGCAACAAUGCGCAGCUACACCCCUGACACCCAUUGAUGCAGAGAAAGUCCAGACAGGACUAAGAUGUUGGAGAAAACCAAAGGGCUGACGUUGAACGCGGAGCAAAAAGCAUUCGAUUGUUUCCAUUCACAGAAGAGCUUAUGAUUUAUUUCCAUUCGUGUAAUGGAAAUCUGAAGCAUCUUAAUAUUGGACUGAAAUCAAACCGAAGAACAGGAGCCGACCCCGGCCAGGAAGGAGACACAUCCACAACCGAAAUAAAUGUUUUAGGGAUCGUGAAGACUUUUCCAGUCCAAAUGGAA